rnacentral:rRNA from 1 species
GACGAACGCUGGCGGCGUGCUUAACACAUGCCAGUCGAACGGAAAGGCCCUGCUUUUGUGGGGUGCUCGAGUGGCGAACGGGUGAGUAACACGUGAGUAACCUGCCCUUGACUUUGGGAUAACUUCAGGAAACUGGGGCUAAUAUCGGAUAGGAGCUCCUGCUGCAUGGUGGGGGCUGGAAAGUUUCGGCGGUUGGGGAUGGACUCGCGGCUUAUCAGCUUGUUGGUGGGGUAGUGGCUUACCAAGGCUUUGACGGGUAGCCGGCCUGAGAGGGUGACCGGCCACAUUGGGACUGAGAUACGGCCCAGACUCCUACGGGAGGCAGCAGUGGGGAAUAUUGCACAAUGGGCGGAAGCCUGAUGCAGCAACGCCGCGUGCGGGAUGACGGCCUUCGGGUUGUAAACCGCUUUCGCCUGUGACGAAGCGUGAGUGACGGUAAUGGGUAAAGAAGCACCGGCUAACUACGUG